GAUGAACGCUGGCGGCGUGCUUAACACAUGCAAGUCGAACGGAAAGGCUCCUGCUUGCAGGGGUACUCGAGUGGCGAACGGGUGAGUAACACGUGGGUGAUCUGCCCUGCACUUCGGGAUAAGCCUGGGAAACUGGGUCUAAUACCGGAUAGGACGAUGGUUUGGAUGCCAUUGUGGAAAGUUUUUCGGUUUUGGAUGAGCUGGCGGCCUAUCAGUUUGUUGGUGGGGUAAUGGCCUACCAAGGCGUCGACGGGUAGGCGGCCUUGGAGGGUGUACGGCCACAAUGGGACUACGGGAGGGACCAGUAGCCAACCGGCGGCAAUGGGGGGGAACAUGACGGAAUGGGGGCGAGUCUGAGGCGGCGACGCCGGGUGGGGGAUGACGGCCUUCGGGUUGUAAACUCCUGUCGCUAGGGACGAAGCGCAAGUGACGGUACCUGGAGAAGAAGCACCGGCUAACUACGUG
rnacentral:rRNA from 1 species